AACGAACGCUGGCGGCAGGCUUAACACAUGCAAGUCGAGCGCCCCGCAAGGGGAGCGGCAGACGGGUGAGUAACACGUGGGGAUCUGCCCAAUGGUACGGAAUAGCUCCGGGAAACUGGAAAUAAUACCGUAUGUGCCCGCAAGGGGAAAGAUUUAUCGCCAUUGGAUGAACCCGCGUCGGAUUAGCUAGUUGGUGUGGUAAAGGCGCACCAAGGCGACGAUCCGUAGCUGGUCUGAGAGGAUGAUCAGCCACACUGGGACUGAGACACGGCCCAGACUCCUACGUGAGGCAGCAGUGGGGAAUAUUGGACAAUGGGCGCAAGCCUGAUCCAGCCAUGCCGCGUGAGUGAUGAAGGCCUUAGGGUUGUAAAGCUCUUUCGCCGACGAAGAUAAUGACGGUAGUCGGAGAAGAAGCCCCGGCUAACUUCGUGCCAGCAGCCGCCGUAAAAC
rnacentral:rRNA from 1 species